GCCUGGGCAGCUCAGUCGGUUGGGCGUCUGACUUUGGCUCAGGUCAUGAUCUCAUGGCCCGUGGGUUCGAGCCCCGCGUCGGGCC
rnacentral:tRNA from 1 species